rnacentral:rRNA from 1 species
CGCGUAGGUGGCAAGGCAAGUCAGAUGUGAAAUCCCCGGGCUCAACCUGGGAAUUGCAUCUGAAACUGCAGUGCUUGAGUCCUGGAGGGGAUAGUGGAAUUCCCAGUGUAGCGGUGAAAUGCGUAGAUAUUGGGAGGAACACCUGCGGCGAAGGCGGCUAUCUGGACAGUGACUGACGCUGAUGCGCGAAAGCCAGGGGAGCGAACG